AGAGGCUACAUACAGUAGAGAGGCUAUAUACAGUAGAGAGGCUAUAUACAGUAGAGAGGCUAUAUACAGUAGCGAGGCUACAUACAGUAGAGAGGCUAUAUACAGUAGAGAGGCUAUAUACAGUAGAGAGGCUAUAUACAGUAGAGAGGCUAUAUACAGUAGAGGUUAUAUACAGUAGAGGCUAUAUACAGUAGAGGCUAUAUACAGUAGAGAGGCUAUAUACAGUAGAGAGGCUAUAUACAGUAGAGAGGCUAUAUACAGUAGAGAGGCUAUAUACAGUAGAGAGGCUAUAUACAGUAGAGAGGCUAUAUACAGUAGAGAAUUUAUAUACAGUAGAGAGGCUAUAUACAGUAGAGAGGCUAUAUACAGUAGCGAGGCUACAUACAGUAGAGAGGCUAUAUACAGUAGAGAGAUUAUAUACAGUAGAGAGG
rnacentral:lncRNA from 1 species